UCAGCCAAGUACCAACUUGACUAACUUUGAGGACUGCGCAAAUGACCCAUCUGCUACAGAUGAAUAUUUCCAGGAAGGUGGUCAGCUGGGUUGUUUUUCUGUAGAUGGUGGCAAAUUUGUUGAUGAAUCUACUGAGCCAAGAAAGGAGUCAGAUGAUGUGGAGCUUGAUCCCUCUAAAAUUUAUGUAAUAGAAAAUCAAGGCAAUAAUUAUGAGGGAGAAGAAUCUUCAGAAGAUGAAUUGGACGAGAGUACUGAUGAGGAAGAAGAAGAUUUACCUGAAGAGGAAGGACAAGAAGAGACAUAUGAGACCGAAGAUGAGGAUGAUGCAAUAGAGCAUGACUCUGAAUAUGACGAUGAUGAUUACUGAACAUUUAUAGUUUUUGCACUUGUCAUUUUCUGUCUUGGUACCAAUAAAUAUUAUAUAGUGGCACAACUAGUGAAUAAUAUAGUAUGUUUACUAUUGGUAGUAAUACAUAUUACAUAAUGAUUUAGUGAAACAACUAUUGAACAAUAUAUUAUGGUUGAUAGUAUUUAUAGUUUAGUUGUUACAUAAUGUUUUCUGUUGUUUUCUUCUUCUACUGUCAUGCCUUUGGUAAUCAUCUACUAAUUAUUUUUUUAUGUAGCUAAUAAGAAUGUAUUUGUCACUAUGUAAAUAGGAUGACCCGCUUGCAUCAUAGGCGUGUCUCAAUGGCUAGGUCGAACAAGUCUUCUUCUAGUGCCUCCGUAGGAAACAAUGGAUCAACUCGGCCAACUGCACAAGCUAAAAAGCCUAGAACACCAAGAACUAGGACUUCAGCCGGUCUCAGACUAGAGGAAAUUGACCGACCGCUUAUAGUUCCCGUUGGCAUGGCAUGGGAAAGGCACCCAUACAGCGCUCGUGAUCCAUCAACGGUGCUAGGUGCCUUAGUGCGCCAGAUGUAUCCACCGCCAAUUGGUCCAAAAAAUGAUCAGAAACCGGUAUUGUGUUGGGAGGACUACAAGUGGUCCCCCCUGGUCCAGAAGUAAGAACAGCAGCUUCCAAAAUAGUGGAAGAAUUUUGGUGGCGUUUCAAGUGUGACCCAUCGGAGCAAGAGAAGGCAGAUGGUGUUUUGGAGGAGAACUUAACUAGGAAAGUGAAGCAGAUGCUACAUGAGGAAAAGGCGGCAGCCAUCAAAAGAUUAAAGAAGAAGGGACAAUUGCCUACAGAACUAACAGAAGAGGAUGAGGAUGGUAACCGCUGGCCAACUAAGGAAGCUUUAAUUUCUGCAAAGAGAGUUGACUUUGGUACAGACGUUGGUUGGCGUCUACUAUGUGAGCACUGGAGUAGUACUGAAUUUAGAGGGUUAUCUUUAACCAACAAGAGGAACAGACUUGCUAAUGGGGACACGGUCUUCCAUUGUAGUGGUGCUAGAAGUG